GACGAACGCUGGCGGCGUGCCUAAUACAUGCAAGUAGAACGCUGAAGGAAGGAGCUUGCUCUUUCCGGAUGAGUUGCGAACGGGUGAGUAACGCGUAGGUAACCUGCCUGGUAGCGGGGGAUAACUAUUGGAAACGAUAGCUAAUACCGCAUAACAGUAGAUAUCGCAUGAUAGCUGCUUGAAAGGUGCAAUUGCACCACUACCAGAUGGACCUGCGUUGUAUUAGCUAGUUGGUGAGGUAACGGCUCACCAAGGCAACGAUACAUAGCCGACCUGAGAGGGUGAUCGGCCACACUGGGACUGAGACACGGCCCAGACUCCUACGGGAGGCAGCAGUAGGGAAUCUUCGGCAAUGGACGGAAGUCUGACCGAGCAACGCCGCGUGAGUGAAGAAGGUUUUCGAAUCGUAAAGCUCUGUUGUAAGAGAAGAACGAGUGUGAGAGUGGAAAGUUCACACUGUG
rnacentral:rRNA from 1 species